UACGUAGGUGGCAAGCGUUGUCCGGAUUUACUGGGUGUAAAGGGCGUGUAGCCGGGCUGACAAGUCAGAUGUGAAAUCCGGGGGCUCAACCCCCGAACUGCAUUUGAAACUGUUGGUCUUGAGUACAGUAGAGGUGGGCGGAAUUCGUGGUGUAGCGGUGAAAUGCUUAGAUAUCACGAAGAACUCCGAUUGCGAAGGCAGCUCACUGGACUGCAACUGACACUGAGGCUCGAAAGUGUGGGUAUCAAACAGG
rnacentral:rRNA from 1 species